UCCUGGUGGCUCAGAUGGUAAAGCGUCUGCCUGCAAUGCGGGAGACCUGGGUUCAAUCCCUGGGUCAGGAA
rnacentral:tRNA from 1 species